rnacentral:piRNA from 1 species
UGUUCACGUCUCAAAACCAUGCGCUGC